UCGAUGACCUCCGUGGAUGGCGUAUGAGGAGCCAUGCAUAUCC
rnacentral:sRNA from 1 species